GGGUCAUUAGCUCAGUCGGCAGAGCAUCUGACUUUUAAUCAGAGUGUCGUAGGUUCGAUUCCUACAUGACCCA
rnacentral:tRNA from 1 species